AAAGUUAGGGGAUCGAAGACGAUCAGAUACCGUCGUAGUCUUAACCAUAAACUAUGCCGAC
rnacentral:ncRNA from 1 species